rnacentral:rRNA from 1 species
CCUACGGGAGGCAGCAGUAGGGAAUUUUCGUCAAUGGGCGCAAGCCUGAACGAGCGAUGCCGCGUGAGUGAAGAAGGCCUUCGGGUCGUAAAGCUCUGUUGCGGGGGAAAAAAGACAGCAUCAGGAAAUGGGUGCUGACUGAUGGUGCCCCGCCAGAAAGUCACGGCUAACUACGUGCCAGCAGCCGCGGUAAUACGUAGGUGGCGAGCGGUAUCCGGAAUGAUUGGGCGUAAAGGCUGCGCCGGCGGUCCUGAAAGUAUGGAGUGAAACGGAUGAGCUCAACUCAUGCAUGGCUUUGGAAACUGGAGGACUGGAGAGCAGGAGAGGGGAGUGGAACUCCAUGUGUAGCGGUAAAAUGCGUAGAUAUAUGGAAGAACACCAGUGGCGAAGGCGGCCGCCUGGCUUGUUGCUGACGCUGAGGCACGAAAGCGUGGGGAGCAAAUAGGAUUAGAUACCCCUGUAGUC